rnacentral:rRNA from 1 species
CCUACGGGUGGCAGCAGUGGGGGAUAUUGCACAAUGGGCGGAAGCCUGAUGCAGCGACGCCGCGUGAGCGAUGGAGUACUUCGGUAUGUAAAACUCUGUUAGCAGGGAAGAAAAAGACGGUACCUGACUAAGAAUCCCCGGCGAAUUACGUGCCAGCAAGCCCGGUAAUACGGCUGGGGCAAGGGUUGUCCGGAUUUACUGGGGGUAAAGGGAGCGGAGGCGGCUGGGCAAGACUGAUGUGAAAGCCCUGGGUUCAACCCCGGGUCGGCAGUGGAAACUGCCCGGCUGGAGUGCCGGAGGGGCAGGUGGAAUUCCUUGUGUAGCGGUGAAAUGCGUAGAUAUAAGGAGGAACACCAGUGGCGAAGGCGGCCUGCUGGACGGUGACUGACGCUGAGGCUCGAAAGCGUGGGGAGCAAACAGGAUUAGAUACCCUAGUAGUC